CACAAAAACAGCGGAUGAACUCAAGAAGAAGAUAGAAGAUAUUAAAGAAUUAAAGAACAAACUAACCACUGCUGAAAGUAAAAUUAAAAGUCUCGAAAAUGAAAAGGAUCGCCUUACAAAACAUUUGCAACAAGAGAAGAAUCAACGUGAUGAAAACGAGCAGACAAUCGGAAAACUGAAAGAAGAACACAAGAAACUAAUUGGCGAAAUGGACGA